rnacentral:rRNA from 1 species
CAGCCGCCACGGUAAUACAGAGGGUGCGAGCGUUAAUCGGAUUUACUGGGCGUAAAGCGUGCGUAGGCGGCUUCUUAAGUCGGAUGUGAAAUCCCUGAGCUUAACUUAGGAAUUGCAUUCGAUACUGGGAAGCUAGAGUAUUGGAGAGGAUGGUAGAAUUCCAGGUGUAGCGGUGAAAUGCGUAGAGAUCUGGAGGAAUACCGAUGGCGAAGGCAGCCAUCUGGCCUAAUACUGACGCUGAGGUACGAAAGCAUGGGGAGCAAACAGGAUUAGAUACCCGAGUAGUCCCUGUCUCUUAUAC